AACGAACGCUGGCGGCGCGCCUAAUACAUGCAAGUCGAGCGAGAAGACGUAGCAAUACGUUUGUAAAGCGGCGAACGGGUGAGGAAUACAUGGGUAACCUACCCUCGAGUGGGGAAGUAACUAGCCGAAGGUUAGCUAAUACCGCGUACGCUCCUUGGACUUCGGUUCAGGGAGGAAAGCGAUACCGUGGGUAUCGCGCUCUUGGAUGGGCUCAUGUCCUAUCAGCUUGUUGGUGAGGUAACGGCUCACCAAGGCUUCGACGGGUAGCUGGUCUGAGAGGACGAUCAGCCACACUGGCACUGCGACACGGGCCAGACUCCUACGGGAGGCAGCAGUAAGGAAUAUUGCGCAAUGGGCGAAAGCCUGACGCAG
rnacentral:rRNA from 1 species